UCAGCUUCUUUGGUUACUCAACCACUUCGGAUGACCCCUUGUUGAACUGCCUUGAAGAUCAUUCUCCUUGGUACUUGAUGUCUGCACAUGAGAGGCUUCCAAGCUGACAGUAGGCUCUUCUAUUAGGUACUUAGAAGCUUUCUCAUGCUUGACACCAAGAUGGCUUUUGUGAUCUCCCUUCUGCUACUUGAUGCCUUCUCAUGAUGGACUUGCUAAGAUGACUGUAGGCUCUUCUCUAUUGUACUUAGAGUCUUCCCAUGAUGGACACCAAGAUGACAUAAUGCUCUUCUUUCUCUUGGCAGUUCUGAACACUCUUCAUGUAGUAGAACUCUCACUUCUACAUAGUAGAACUCACACUUCUACUUCUUUCUUUAUCUGACUUCUGAGUGUUCUUGGUGGAUCGUAGAGUGAACCUUCUGACUUACUGUUUCACAUGUUUUAGAUCAGUCCACCUUCUCUCCAAACUCGGCAACUCCAGCAACCUUUGAUCUUUGAAGCUCUUCCUUAUUUAUACUCAUUCCCAAUCCUUCCGUUGGAAAGUAGCCGUUGAAGGCUACUCAAAUCUCUUCACAGAUCUCGAGUUACUUGAGGUAGACUGCUUGAUGUGACUUGUCAUACUUUUUUGACGUUGCAGUUUACUGUUUCACCUACCCUGUCAGAUGUAUCACUUUAAUGUCUUGGGCAGGUUGAAGACUUUAUUACCUCUUUUUGAUUUCUCGAUUAGAGCUUGUCCUAUUGCAUCGAUGCUCUCAAUAAGCACUUGUCCAAAUAUUACCAUUAAGAUUGAACCUUUGCCAAUGCUUCAAUCUUCAGUUAUUCGGACUCUACGAUUCUGAUGCAUGUCUUCAAGGACUCGAUCGUAGUGUCUUGUUGAGUGUUGCUCAUUGACUGGUAGAGUUAACACUACGAUCUUGAAGAGUUUUGAUUGGAUCUUUAAUGUAGAACACUUCUUCCUUGUAUUGUGUAGUGCUUCAAUACUUCUGUUUGCCUCAACUGCUCUUAGAGACUGAUGGCCUAAUUCCUUGUUCUGGUCCCCUUCUGAAUAUCAAGACACUUCAGAUUUGUGGCGCGUCCAGCUUGCUUUCUCCUUGUGAUCUCCCGUUCACUUAUCAUCAAUGAACUGACCCUGCACUUAAUCACUUUAGCCUUGCUCUUCAAAGGCUGACCAGUAUCUCGGUUCACCUUCCAUCAGUUCCUUCUUUGUUUGGCAAACACUACGAUCUUGGUUGCUUCCAAGAUCGUUGUCUUCUGUUCACUUGAUAGCUACUGCAUUAGCUGACUUUCCUUAGUCAGCUUCUGAAGUCUUCUUUGGAUCUCCUUGUGGAAGACUUCAUCACGAAUGGCCUUACACCUCAAUCUUGAUGCUGAUUGGGUUGGUGCUGAGAUCUUCUGUUAGCCUGCAUGCCAUUCGUUGAGUGCUCUCUGGUUUCCUUGGAUGUAGCUUGCAGCUUGAACCAGAGGCUUCGUUCCUUUGGAUAUUCUGGGAGUGCUCAUUUGUUGAGAACCGUAUAUGCUCUACGAUUCAUCCUUGGCAUUGUGAGCACUUCUUCUUAGAUCGUAGUUCUGCACUCUACGAUUCAGCUUCGGCUUGUGCAGACACUACGAUCCCGAGAUCAGAUCUUGACACUACGAUUUCUGCCUUGUGCUUGUUGUCUUCAUCUGAUCUUGCUUGACUACGAUCUCUGCAUGUAAUCAAUAGACUCUACGAACUCAGAGUGUGAUCUACGAUCCUUGACUUGGCUUUGGCAUCAGUAGACUCUACGACUCUGAGUGUAGUCUACGUUUCUAUCUUGACUUCGGCAGAUGACUGGUCGGCUCGUAGGCAGGCUGUCUCUACGAUUCUGAACAUGACUUCCUCAGCACACUACGAUCCCAAGGAAGCUCUACUCGAUACACUACGAUCCUUCUUCGUUUCCCCUGGCAGUCUACGAACUCCGAGAUCUACUAUCUUGCAUACUCCUAUUCUGCCUCGAUAGCUCUCGAGUUAACCUUGACUCACCUGGCAGACUACGACUUCUGGUGCAGUGCUCGACGAUCAGACUAGCUUAUCUAUUACAUCAUUAGAUCAACCUAACAAGCUUGAUCUCUCUAUAUUUAUAGUCCUUGUACAUCAUUUCUUUUUAAGGACUUUACAAAGCUGUUUUGCUUAUGUAAGAUCAACCUAACAUAUUUGAUCAAUUCAUUCUAAGUCCUUGUACAUAUAUUUCUAUUGUCUAUCAAAGGACUUUACAGCUUUUCUUAAUGCAAGCAUACUUGCAUAUUAUUCAUUCAUAUAUGUAUAUAUCAUAAUCAAAUCAUAUAUAAAUAGGAAUAGCAUUCACAUGCAUAUUCCUGACAAUCUCCCACUAUUUGAUUAUGACAAAAAUAAUAAGUACAUAUGCAUGUUAUGAAUGAACCUUAUAUACAGUGAGCAGUUGUAUUUCUAAGACAGUUAAUCAUGAAUGUCAUUUAAAUUGAUGUGGCAAUUUAUAUAUUAAGACAAUCUACAUCCUGGAUCCAGAACAUACCUAUCUAGUUAGAGAUGUACCUCUUUGGCUCCAUGUAUGUUUCCAGGAUGCUUGUUGAUCAGCUACUCAUCUGAUUGGUCUUCUUUUUCUUGCUCCACCUGGGAUGAUGACAUUUUGUCUUUGCUUGGGUCCUCUUCAGCAUCUUCCUGAUCAGGCUCCCCCUCAGAAUUUGCAAUCUUGUUAUCAUCAUCUUCUGGCUCCCCCUAUGAUCAUGACUCUUUAUCUGCAGCUGCUUUUUUCUUCUUUGACUUCUUCUCCCUUAACCCUCUGCUCUUCCUUGAGUGCCUCUUGCUCCUCUUCUUUCUAUGCCUCUUUUUCUCUCCCUUUUUGUCAUCAAUCAUUUGAGAGAGCUGCUCCAUGUUGGACAUAAGCUGCUCCAUCAGGUAGGAGGAGUUGGCAACUUCAAACUUUAGUUCUUGAUGUCCUAGCUCAAGUUGCACUGAGAAGGUCUGCCUCAUAUCAUCAAUCUUGUCAGAGAGGGCUUCGAUCUGCUCUGCAUUGGCCUUCUAAAUUUGUAGAGCUUCUUCCUUCUGAUCUUGUAUGGCCUUUUGAUAGAUGUUAUCUCUCUCUUGGAGUUUAAGAGAUACAUCAGCCAAGAUAUCUUGAAGCUUAUGCUUGAAAGAAUCAUCUCCUGCAGCUGUCUUCUUAUGUGAUUCUUCAGUGAGCAUAGAUAUCUUAGAAGCUUUCUCAUGCUUGACACCAAGAUGGCUUUUGUGAUCUUCCUUCUACUACUUGAUGCCUUCUCAUGAUGGACUUGCUAAGAUGACUGUAGGCUCUUCUCUAUUGUACUUAGAGUCUUCCCAUGAUGGACACCAAGAUGACAUAAUGCUCUUUUUUCUCUCGGCAGUUCUGAACACUCUUCAUGUAGUAGAACUCUAACUUCUACAUAGUAGAACUCACACUUCUACUUCUUUCUUUAUCUGACUUCUGAGUGUUCUUGGUGGAUCGUAAAGUGAACCUUCUGACUCACUGUUUCACAUGUUUUAGAUCAGUCCACCUUCUCUCCAAACUCGGCAACUCCAGCAACCUUUGAUCUUUGAAGCUCUUCCUUAUUUAUACUCCUUCCCAAUCCUUCCGUUGGAAAGUAGCCGUUGAAGGCUAUUCAAAUCUCUUCACAGAUCUCGAGUUGCUUGAGGUAGACUGCUUGACGUGACUUGUCAUACUUUUUCUGACGCUGCAGUCUACUGUUUCACCUACCCUGUUAGAUGUAUCACUUUAAUGUCUUGGGCAGGUUGAAGACUUUAUUACCUCUUUUUGAUUUCUCGAUUAGAGCUUGUCCUAUUGCAUCGAUGCUCUCAAUAAGCACUUGUCCAAAUAUUACCCUUCAGAUUGAACCUUUGCCAAUGCUUCAAUCUUCAGUUAUUCGGACUCUACGAUUCUGAUGCAUGUCUUUAAGGACUCGAUCGUAGUGUCUUGUUGAGUGUUGAUCAUUGACUGGUAGAAUUAACACUACGAUCUUGAAAAGUGUUGAUUGGAUCUUCAAUGUAGAACAUCUCUUCCUUGUAUUGUGCAGUGCUUCAAUACUUCUAUUUGCCUCAACUGCUCUUAGAGACUGAUGGCCUAAUUCCUUGUUCUGGUCCCCUUCUGAAUAUCAAGACACUUCAGAUUUGUGGCGCGUCUAGCUUGUUUUCUCCUUGUGAUCUCCCGUUCACUUAUCAUCAAUUAACUGACCCUGCACUUAAUCACUUUAGCCUUGCUCUUGAGAGGCUGACCAGUAUCUCGGUUCACCUUCCAUCAGUUCGUUCUUUGUUUGGCAAACAUUAUGAUCUUGGUUGCUUCCAAGAUCGUUGUCUUCUGUUCACUUGAUAGCUACUGCAUAAGCUGACUUUCCUUGGUCAGCUUCUGAAGUCUUCUUUGGAUUUCCUUGUGGAAGACUUCAUCACGAAUGGCCUUACAACUCAAUCUUGAUGCUUAUUAGGUUGGUGCUUAGAUCUUCUGUGAGCCUGCAUGCCAUUCGUUGAGUGUUCUCUGGAUUCCUUGGAUGUAGCUUGCAGCUUGAACCAAAGGUUUCGUUCCUUUGGAUAUUCUGGGAGUGCUCAUAUGUUGAGAACCGUAUAUGCUCUACGAUUCUUCCUUGGCACUGUGAGCACUUCUGUUGAGGUCGUAGUUCUGCACUCUACGAUUCAGCUUCGGCUGGUGCAGACACUACGAUCCCGAGAUCAGAUCUUGACACUCUACGAUGUCUGCCUUGUGCUUGUUGUCUUCAUCUGAUCUUGCUUGACUACGAUCUCUGCAUGUAAUCAAUAAACUCUAUGAACUCAGAGUGUGAUCUACGAUCCUUGACUUGGCUUUGGCAUCAGUAGACUCUACGACUCUAAGUGUAGUCUACGUUUCUGUCUUGGCUUCGGCAGAUGACUGGUCGGCUCGUAGGCAGGCUGUCUCUACGAUUCUAAACAUGACUUCCUCAGCACACUACGAUCCCAAGGAAGCUCUACUCGAUACACUAUGAUCCUUCUUCGUUUCCCCUGGCAGUCUACGAUCUCCGAGAUCUACUAUCUUGCAUAUUCCUAUUCUGCCUCGAUAGCUCUCGAGUUAACCUUGACUCACCUGGCAGACUACGACUUCUGGUGCAGUGCUUGACGAUCAGACUAGCUUAUCUAUUACAUCAUUAGAUCAACCUAACAGGCUUGAUCUCUCUAUAGUUAUAGUCCUUGUACAUCAUUUCUUUUUAAGGACUUCACAAAGUUGUUUUGCUUAUGUAGGAUCAACCUAACAUAUUUGAUCAAUUCAUUCUAAGUCCUUGUACAUAUAUUUCUAUUGUCUAUCAAAGGACUUUACAGCUUUUCUUAAUGCAAGUAUACUUGCAUAUUAUUCAUUCAUAUAUGUAUAUAUCAUAAUC
rnacentral:lncRNA from 1 species